AUCUAAAGAGACCGAUUUUAUGCAUAUUUUGUUAUUCAUUUCUUUCGCGUUCCACGUCGUAGUAAACAUUGGCGGCAUCUUCGCAGCCCCUUUUCGUAUGAGACGACUGUUAAGAUGUAUGAGCACCAUAGCUUCGAUUGAUCAAAGUAUUGAUGCUCAAUACUCUGAGGCUAAGGAACACAAGUUGUUUGUUUGUCUGGCCUUCUUCAUUAUCUUCUUCGUUUUUAUCGAUGUAUUUGAGUAUUUCAGUGCCGUGGUUCGUUUUCGCAAUCCCAACAUAAAUUGGCAAUUUCUGCUGUUCGACAGUGCGAUUAAUAUCACCAAGUUUUUGAACAUGAUGCUGACCAUACAGUUUGCCUUCGUAGCGAUGUCGGUGCGCGUGCGCUUCACAGCUAUCAACAGAGUGCUGAACCUCAUUGCCAAGCACUUAUCCGUGCCAUAUUGUUUGUAUUUUUUAUUUAUACCUUGUUUUAUGGAGUCUUUUUACUCCCGCACCGCACGCACGUCCUUAACGUGGAU